rnacentral:rRNA from 1 species
AGUUCAAGAGUACGUGAAACCGUUCAGGGGUAAACGGGAGAAAUCCUGAAUUCGAAAGGGGCCGGAUUCAAGGCCUUCCCGUGUGCAUAACAGGACGUCCCUGCCAGAUGGCGCUGGUCGCCCGCGGUGAUUCAUUUUGCUUGCGGUGUCGUUCCCGGCGAUCACUCGGCGUGGGACGUUUGACCUGGCGCCGGAGGUGUGCACUUCCACCCUAGUAGAAACGUCGCGACCCGUUGGGUGCCGGUCAAAGGCCUGGGAUGGCAGCCCGUGUGUCCUGUGGGGGUUCUCACAGGCACGUGGACUCUCGGUGUCCCGGCCGGCUGCCCGACGGUAUGACCAGAGGAGUCGAUCCGCUGAAUGGGAAACACUGUGGUUGUGUAGCGUCCGGCCCGGCGCCGAUGCGUGUGGGGAUUGAGGUGUAAACCGGGGGUGCCCGUGCGAAGCACGGCCCCGGCCCCACUGCGUGUUCGGAUAUGUCGGUGUCCUCGGACUGGAUCAGCACUCCCGUCUGCGACGCCCACCUUCGGAUGGUCUCCG